rnacentral:misc_RNA from 1 species
GUCGUAACAAGGUAGCCGUACCGGAAGGUGCGGCUGGAUCACCUCCUUUCUAAGGAGCAUUAUUCCUUGCUGUCCCUUUGGGGGUGGUGGGGGAGAGGCCAGGUCAUCACCGGAUGUGUGGUGCUGGUUGCUCAUGGGUGGAACGUUUGACAAGACGCCUCAGUCGCGUCAGUGCUCUUAGUACGGGUUGUCUUCGGAUGGUUCGGGGACGGGGUGCUGGUGUGGGUGGGGCGUGUGCACGUUGUUGGGUCCUGAGGGCUCAGGCAUCCCCGUGGGGGUGGUUGGUUUCUCUGGGUCUCGUCUGAACCGCCUGUGGGUGGGGAGGGUGGGGUUCCGCCCGUACUUUGAGAACUACACAGUGGACGCGAGCAUCUUAAAGAAAGCGAACAUGCAUGACUUUUUGUUGUGUGUGGCUCAUGUGAUUUCAAGUCUUUAAGAGCAAACGGUGGAUGCCUUGGC